UACGAAGGGGGCUAGCGUUGCUCGGAAUCACUGGGCGUAAAGGGUGCGUAGGCGGGUCUUUAAGUCAGGGGUGAAAUCCUGGAGCUCAACUCCAGAACUGCCUUUGAUACUGAAGAUCUUGAGUUCGGGAGAGGUGAGUGGAACUGCGAGUGUAGAGGUGGAAUUCGUAGAUAUUCGCAAGAACACCAGUGGCGAAGGCGGCUCACUGGCCCGAUACUGACGCUGAGGCACGAAAGCGUGGAGAGCAAACAGG
rnacentral:rRNA from 1 species